CAACCUGCCCUUGACACUGGAAUAACAGCUGGAAACAGCUGCUAAUACCGGGUAUGACUCGCCUCGGCAUCGAGGUGGGUGGAAAGCCCUGGCGGUCAAGGAUGGGCUCGCGGCCUAUCAGCUAGUUGGUGAGGUAACGGCUCACCAAGGCUUCGACGGGUAGCCGGCCUGAGAGGGCGACCGGCCACACUGGGACUGAGAUACGGCCCAGACUCCUACGGGAGGCAGCAGUGGGGAAUAUUGCACAAUGGGCGAAAGCCUGAUGCAGCAACGCCGCGUGCGGGAUGACGGCCUUCGGGUUGUAAACCGCUUUCAGUAGGGACGAAGCGAAAGUGACGGUACCUACAGAAGAAGCACCGGCCAACUACGUGCCAGCAGCCGCGGUGAUACGUAGGGUGCGAGCGUUGUCCGGAAUUAUUGGGCGUAAAGGGCUUGUAGGCGGUUCGUCACGUCGAAAGUGAAAACUCAGGGCUUAACCCUGAGCCUGCUUUCGAUACGGGCGAACUAGAGGAAUGCAGGGGAGAACGGAAUUCCUGGUGGAGCGGUGGAAUGCGCAGAUAUCAGGAGGAACACCGGUGGCGAAGGCGGUUCUCUGGGCAUUACCUGACGCUGAGAAGCGAAAGCGUGGGGAGCAAACAGGCUUAGAUACCCUGGUAGUCCACGCCGUAAACGGUGGGCACUAGGUGUGGGGGACAUUCCACGUUCUCCGUGCCGAAGCUAACGCAUUAAGUGCCCCGCCUGGGGAGUACGGCCGCAAGCUAAAACUCAAAGGAAUUGA
rnacentral:rRNA from 1 species